UACGUAGGGUGCGAGCGUUGUUCGGAAUCAUUGGGCGUAAAGGGCGCGUAGGUGGUUUUGUAUGUCUACCGUGAAAGCGUACAGCUCAACCGUAUUUUGUCGGUAGAAACUGCAGGACUUGAGUAUGGGAGAGGGAUGUAGAAUUCCAGGUGUAGCGGUGAAAUGCGUAGAUAUCUGGAGGAAUACCGGUGGCGAAGGCGGCAUCCUGGACCAUUACUGACGCUGAGGCGCGAAAGCUAGGGGAGCAACGGG
rnacentral:rRNA from 1 species